UGUGGCCACCCUGUGCCGUCUGGGCGGCUGGUCGGAAAAAAGUGGAACAUGGUCGUUGUAUGUUAAGGAUGUUUUUGAAAAACAUCUGGACACAAGUUCAUCCCUCUAUCGCGACCUCCGUCCAGACAACAGGACAACCUAACUGGAAGGCAUAAAAUCAGCAUACAAUUACAGGGUAGAAAAAAACCUCCAAACAAUGGAGAAUUGCCAUGCCAUAGAGGGCUUUGCAGGGUACCUGCAAGAUUUCAGAGACACUAGUCUCAACAUUUCGAUCGGGGAUGCUGAGAAAGAACUUGAAAAAAUGAAAAAAGGGGAAAGCGAUGAAUU